UUCAACCAAGAGCCUGGAAGACUUUAUGUUGAGUUACAGUUUUUCUGUGCCGUGUUUAACUUUGGUCAGGGAUUUAUUUCCUUUGGAAUCUUUGGAUUAGAUAAACAUUUAAUCAUCCUGCCUUUCAAAAGAAGACUUGAAUUCCUAUGGAACAAUAAAGACACAGCAGAAAACAGGGAUUCUCCUGUUUCAGAGGAAAUAAAAAUGACCUGUCAACAAUUUAUCCAUUAUCACCGUGACCUCUGUAUCCGAAACAUUGUCAAAGAAAGAAGGUAAGCAAAGUGCCAGUACAGGUUCUAGACAAUUAUAUUUUAAAUGAUUAAUUGAUUAAUUUUGGAUUGUAAUAGGCUAAAUGAGGUGGUUGUGACUGAUUACAUGAUUAUUUUUACAUAUGCAUGUAAAAGUUACAGGAAUUAUGAGUGAGUUUAUAGUUUCAGAAAUGGCAUAUAAAAGAACCAUUUACGUUGAUUUUAAUAUUUUAAAAAUGUCAUAUAACUUCUGAUUGCCAUAUAAAAUGUGAACACUUCAGUUUAGAGUGAACCAAAAUGUCAUAGAAUAUUGACACUGAUUUCAAGUUGGCCAGUAGUGUCUCUCACAAAACUUUGAGAUACAUUGGAUUUAGAAGUGAUGUUAUAUUCCCACCUCAGCAUUUCUUGACAAAUGUAUUUGUCAAGAAAAUGAAAUGAAAUUUCUGCCUCUUAAUUUUGUUGCUUAUGUUUCACUUCAAGUUCUAAUCUUUAGUCUGUGACAUAAUAUUUAUUAUACUAAUCCUUAAGGUAUGAAGUAUAUAGCAGGUUCUCUUUUAAUUUUGGAUGAGGAAAAAAAUUUUUUUAUAAACGAAGUAUACAGCAGGAAAUUAUGAACUUUGAAUAAAUACUAUACUACCAGUAUUUCUCUUUGUCAUAAAAGAGAAA
rnacentral:lncRNA from 1 species